rfam:Neolentinus lepideus HHB14362 ss-1 unplaced genomic scaffold NEOLEscaffold_1, whole genome shotgun sequence.
GCUGAUAUGGCCGAGUCGUUAAGGCGAGUGAUUUGAAUUGUCAAUUCUAUCACUUGGGCAUCGCCCGCGUAGGUUCAAAUCCUGCUGUCAGCG